rnacentral:rRNA from 1 species
AAACUGCAGAUGGCUCAUUAUAUCAGUCAUAAUUUACAUGAAGAUUACUUUACUACAUGGAUACCCGUAGUAAUUCUAGAGCUAAUACAUGCGUAAAAUCCCGACUCUUUGCGGGGAGGGAUGUAUUUAUUAGAUAAAAAACCAAUGCGGGUUCUGCCCGGUUUUGUGGUGAUUCAUAAUAACUGUUCGAAUCGCAUGGCCUUGCGCCGGCGAUAGUUCAUUCAAAUUUCUGCCCUAUCAGCUUUCGACGGUAGUGUCGUGGACUACCGUGGCAUUGACGGGUGACGGAGAAUUAGGGUUCGAUUCCGGAGAGGGAGCCUGAGAAACGGCUACCACAUCCAAGGAAGGCAGCAGGCGCGCAAAUUACCCAAUCCUGACACAGGGAGGUAGUGACAAGAAAUAACAAUACCGGGCCUUUUCAGGUCUGGUAAUAGGAAUGAGUACAAUUUAAAUCCCUUAACGAGGAUCUACUGGAGGGCAAGUCUGGUGCCAGCAGCCGCGGUAAUUCCAGCUCCAGAAGCGUAUAUUUAAAUUGUUGCUGUUAAAAAGCUCGUAGUUGGAUUUCUGGUGUGGUGCGGCCGGUCCGUCGUCGAUAGACGAUCGAGUACUGGCGUUGCGCCUACCAUCCCUUCUGGAGAGGCCUGUCGGCGCUUCAUUGCGUCAGUCGGGAAUUUUAAAACCGAUCCAGAUCGUUUACUUUGAAAAAAUUAGAGUGUUUAAAGCAGGCGUUCAAGCCACUGAAUACAUUAGCAUGGAAUAAUAAGAUAGGACUUUGGCCCUAUUUUGUUGGUUUCUAGGACUGAAGUAAUGAUUGAUAGGGACAGUUGGGGGUGCUAGUAUUUAACGGCCAGAGGUGAAAUUCUUGGAUUCGUUAAAGACUAACUAAUGCGAAAGCAUUCACCAAGGAUGUCUUCUUUAAUCAAGAACGAAAGUUGGGGGAUCGAAGACGAUCAGAUACCGUCGUAGUCUCAACCAUAAACUAUACCGACUAGGGAUCAGUGGACGUUGUUUUAUUUAUCGACUCCAUUGGCACCUUAUGAGAAAUCAAAGUCUUUGGGUUCAGGGGGGAGUAUGGUCGCAAGGCUGAAACUUAAAGGAAUUGACGGAAGGGCACACCGGAAGUGGAGCCUGCGGCUUAAUUUGACUCAACACGGGAAAA